rnacentral:rRNA from 1 species
UGGGGAAUAUUGGACAAUGGGCGAAAGCCUGAUCCAGCCAUGCCGCGUGUGUGAAGAAGGUCUUCGGAUUGUAAAGCACUUUAAGUUGGGAGGAAGGGCAGUAAGCGAAUACCUUGCUGUUUUGACGUUACCGACAGAAUAAGCACCGGCUAACUCUGUGCCAGCAGCCGCGGUAAUACAGAGGGUGCAAGCGUUAAUCGGAAUUACUGGGCGUAAAGCGCGCGUAGGUGGUUCGUUAAGUUGAAUGUGAAAGCCCCGGGCUCAACCUGGGAACUGCAUCCAAAACUGGCGAGCUAGAGUAGGGCGGAGGGUGGUGGAAUUUCCUGUGUGGCGGUGAAAUGCGUAGAUAUAGGAAGGAACACCAGUGGCGAAGGCGACCACCUGGGCUCAUACUGACACUGAGGUGCGAAAGCGUGGGGAGCAAACAGG